ACCUCUUUCUCUGGGACUGACAGCAAGCAGCAUCUCUGGCAGGCAGAGAAAACAAAAAGCCUGUGGCAACGCCAGGCUGCCAGCCAAGAAUGUGCUCCCAAAGCACCUGCAAGCUGCAAACGUGCCAUUCACUUCUACUCCAUUUCUUCCCGAAUUAGCAAAAGUCGCUCGAUCAAAGCAGCAAGAAAUCCCCCCGGAGCUGAGGGCAGAAGACAGGAGCGCUGGCUCCCCACCAGCAGCUCUCCUCUUUGUCUCAGCCUGCUUCCAUGCCUGCUCGGUGCUAACACCACGACUCUUGGUGUCUGUGACUAACUCCUGGCUUUCGCUGUGGGUGACCUGAUUCUGCUCGGCCGCGCUCCGCCCCGCUGGGUGAAGCUCCCCCAUGUGAUCUCCAUUCUUCCCCCCUAAAUAAAGUUGACAAAUUUGGCUGGGCUCAGUGAGUGCUGAAGGCAGAGAGGGAGUGUGCGGAGCUGGCUGUUCAACCCUCCCCGCAGCCGCAGCACCAGCAACCUGCCUCUUCAGCACUAUCUGCUCCUGCUCUCGAACACCCAGACGGGACCAGACUGGCCACUUUAGCAAGGUCUUGGGCAAGCUCCGCGGUCAGGCUUCACCACGGGCUGCCAGCCUUGCCAUCUUCUCAUCUCUCCUCCCUUCCGAGCCGAGAAGAUGUGGCUGGAGAAGGAAUCUGAUAGCUGUGGAUACAGAUGAGACCAGAGACAGGUUCAGGUCAUUUUGCCAGACUCCAGAUUUGCAAUCAGUGAAGACAUCUCCUAAACUCCAACAUAACGAGGACCAAAAUCCUCUGCAGACAAGCUGGGUCUGAGAGCAGAUAUCAAAGAAGAGGGGAGAAUAACCCCCCCCAGCUAAUAACAGGAGAGCUCCUGGUUUGUAGCUGAUUUUUUCAAUGCCUGUGAUGUUAGCAAAACCAAUCCUGCCCCUCAGUACAAGAACAUGCUUUUGAUUUCCUUCUCUUUUGGGAAUACUUGGGGGCAGAAAAAGCCCAAAACUUCUGGCUGAACUAAUUCCUAAGCUCUAAAUUAAACUCACUGCAGUGCUGGUUUUGCUUUGAAGCCUGAGGAUAAGCCCUGCUACCAACGCGUUACUGGAAAAUUGGUUUGAUUUUCUUCAAUUAUCUCUUCAAGAAAACAAAGAUUCCUGAACUGGAAGGCAGCUGAGCAGCCUUCCCCCACCACAGCACACACACCUUCUGACUUUCCACCUCUGGAUGUUGAUGAGCUGUGCUGCCAGUGUGGUGAGAUACAGGGCUCUUCCUACGCUCCCUAGCUUCACAACCCAGCAAAGCUUCUGAGCAUCGCUUGUGCCUGGAGAAGCCGAGGAGAACACUUUCUCAUGAAUGACACAGGUGACAGGGGAGUCACAGCUCUUCCUUCUUCAGCAAUUCUGAGUGACAACAGCUACUGAAUCCCAAUGAGGCCCAAGUUCCAGGAACUCCCUGUACCUGCACUUCUGGCCUCAACAGACUAUGAGAACUUUGCUAAACUGAACACCACAAGAGACACUGAAACACAGCAGCUGGAGGGGUCCCUCUCCUCCACUAUCGCCCUGGUAAUAGUGCUGGUUAUUAUUUUCUCUUUGAUAAUGACAUCCCUCCUCACCUACUGCUUUCACAAGUGGAAACUCAGAAGUAAAAAACUGCAGAGAGCACAAGAGGAGUACCAGAAAGAUCACGAAAAGAGCAUUUUUCAAAACACAUCUGGACUUGUUUCAUAAAAAAACCCUCAAACAACAGCAGCCACCAUGAAAUGCUCUUCAGUUACCUGAAAAUGCUAAGAGAACAGCAACUAUGACAUUCCCAAGCAAAUCUCUCCUUGUUUUAUCUCAUUUCUAAGAGUUGUUAGCAGUUUGGAGAAUUUCCUACAGCUUUAUUAGAUAGAUAUAUAUAUAUUUCUGUAUUUAGCCUCAUUUGUGCAAAGUAAACCCAACACAAUCCUGUAUUUUUAAUCUCUGUUGUGUUACUGAAAGAGGGAAUUUAAAGCUGUGAUUGUUCUAAAAGCCACUGGGUCAGGGAAGGAGAAAAAAGGACAGAUUUUGGCCAAUGCAAGAAAAAACAACUGAGAGACAGGGAGCUACUGUCCAGUGGAGGCUGUAAGGAUGCUGAGGGGCCUGGAGCAUCUCUGAGGACAAAGGCUGAGAGCCCUGGUCCUGGUAAGCCUGUAGAAGAGCAGCCUGAGAAGGGAUCUGAGCAAUGCUCAGCAAGAGAUAAAGAGUGGGAGGCAAGAGGAUGAAGCCAGACUCUUCUUGGUGGUGCCCAGGGACAGGACAAGAGGCAGUGGACACAAACAGGAACCCUCGUGGCUCCAACUGAUCAUGAGGGGAAACCUUGAUGUGAGGGUGCUAGAGCCCUGAAGCAAGCUGCCCAGAGAAGUUGUGGAGUCUCCUUCUCUGGAGACCUUGCAACCUCACCUAGAGAUUGUGAUCCUGGGCAUGCUGUAGUGGGUGCCCCUGCUGUAGCAGUGGAGGUUGGACUGGAUGACCUCCAGAGGUCUCUUCCCACCCCCUGAUGUAGGUUAAAAGGGUAGUUUUGUGAUGAAAACUCGUGCAAUUGUGUUGUCUUGCACCAAACUAAUCAUCUGGCUGAAGUUUUUGAAAUCCAGUGGAGUUUUGGGGAAAUAAGAUCCCUAGAUUCCCCACAGUAGCAGCCAGGUCCUGAAAGAGCAACUGAAGAAUUCUUCAUUUCUUUAGCAACAGCUCCAUGCAGAGAGCAUGCAGGACUGAGCCCUAAAUGUGUGAGCAGGUGGCAAGUCAGUAUCUGUUGGAGUGCAGAGGAGGGCCACAAAGUUGAUCCAAGGGUUGGAGCACCUCUGAUAGGAAGAUAGGGUGAGGGAGCAGGGGGUUGCUCAGCCUGGAGAAUAGAUGACUUUGGUGGGAUCUUAGAGCUGCCUUCCAAUUCCUGAUGGGAUCCUAGAGGAAUGCUGCAGAGGGACUUUUCAUAAGGGCGUCUAAGCAAUAGGACAAGGGAGAAUGGUUUUAACUUAAGGGAGAGCAGGGUUAGACUGGAUCUUAGCAAGUAGUUCUUCAGUACAUGGGUGAUAAGUCUCUGAAACAGGUUGACUAGGGGCUGUGGAUGCCCUGGAGGUGUUCAAGGCCAGGUUGGAUGAUGCCUUGAGUAACCAAGCCUAUUUGAGAGGUGUCCCUGCCUAUGGCAGAUGGGGUUGGAGAAGAUGAUCCCUAAGGUCCCUUCCAACCAAAGCCAUUCUGUGAUUCUGUUUCCUUUAGGCAGAGUUCAGUGCUGGGAGUUGCUAGCAGCAUUCCAGCCACAAGUGGACUAAGGACAUGCAGCUUCUCAAGGAAUAGAGCAAGCCCCAGCUGCACUUUGUGAACUGGAUUUGUGAUGACUUUUAACCCUGCCCUGCUCUGUUUCUCUUUUCAUAGUCUGUAAUAUGAUGUCACAGAAAGCAGGGCAGAUCUCCUGUGAUUCAGCCUAUUAGCAGUACCAUUUCCUACCAGAGUGGUGGGUGUGCUCUUCAGCUACAUUGUCGUCUGGAAAAGUAGAGAACAAGCAAAACCCCCAAACCAGAAUCCCUGCUGACCUAUAGAGCUUGCCUGCAAUUAACCAUUCAUGCUGUGAUGUAUUUUUAAACAAGCUAUAAUACUGUGAUGCUGCUGUAAACUUUACUUCUGUAGGCAAAACAACAACAACAAAAAUGUUCUGCUUAAAAAUGUCAAGAUGAAGGAUGUAAAUGUUCUGAAAGUGCUAUCAGCUUAUAAAAAAAAAAGGGAAAAGAUGAAUUUGCACAGAACAUUCUAGAGGAUUCUGUGAACAUGCUCCAGAUAAUGUUUUUGCAGAGGGAUUUAUGGCUCAUACACACUUGUCUAUGUGAGGACAAACAGUAUUAUUUUAUUACAAAAUAAAGACAUGAAUAAAUAAGCAGUGAAUGGC